rnacentral:rRNA from 1 species
ACGAACGCUGGCGGCGUGCCUAAUACAUGCAAGUUGAGCGCUGAAGGUUGGUACUUGUACCAACUGGAUGAGCAGCGAACGGGUGAGUAACGCGUGGGGAAUCUGCCUUUGAGCGGGGGACAACAUUUGGAAACGAAUGCUAAUACCGCAUAAAAACUUUAAACACAAGUUUUAAGUUUGAAAGAUGCAAUUGCAUCACUCAAAGAUGAUCCCGCGUUGUAUUAGCUAGUUGGUGAGGUAAAGGCUCACCAAGGCGAUGAUACAUAGCUGACCUGAGAGGGUGAUCGGCCACAUUGGGACUGAGACACGGCCCAAACUCCUACGGGAGGCAGCAGUAGGGAAUCUUCGGCAAUGGACGAAAGUCUGAUCGAGCAACGCCGCGUGAGGGAAGAAGGUUUUCGGAUCGUAAAACUCUGUUGGUAGAGAAGAACGUUGGUGAGAGUGGAAAGCUCAUCAAGUGACGGUAACUACCCAGAAAGGGACGGCUAACUACGUG